rnacentral:rRNA from 1 species
GUCUGUUUGGAAAGUCAUGAACAGUCUAGCCUGCCCACUGGGUAACACUGAAGGGCCGCGGUAUUCUGACCGUGCGAAGGUAGCAUAGUAAUUAGUUCUUUAAUUGAGGACUGGAAUGAACGGUUGGACGAGAAGUUAGCUGUCUCUAAGGCAAGGCUUGAAUUUUACUUUUAAGUGAAAAGGCUUAAAUAAAAUAAAGGGACGAUAAGACCCUGUAAAACUUAACUUUCUAUUUUAAAGGUUUCUGAAUUCUAAGUGUAAAUUUGCUUUUAAGGUAGGUGUUUUGCUGGGGCGGCAGGAAUAUAAUUAGUUAACUGUUCUUUUUAGAAUAAUAAUAAUAAUUAGGUUAAUUGAUCCUCUAAUAGGGAUUAAAAGAUUAAGUUACUUUAGGGAUAACAGCGUAAUUUCUCUUGAGAGACCAAAUCGACAGAGUUAGUUGCGACCUCGAUGUUGAAUUAAGAUAUCAUUCAGGUGCAGGAGUCUGAAUAGUAGGUCUGUUCGACCUUUAAAAUCUUACAUGAUUUGAGUUCAAACCGGCGUGAG